rnacentral:rRNA from 1 species
UACGGGGGGAGCGAGCGUUGUUCGGAUUUACUGGGCGUAAAGGGCGCGUAGGCGGCCACUGCAAGUCGGUUGUGAAAUCUCCGGGCUUAACCCGGAAAGGUCAAUCGAUACUGCAGGGCUAGAGUGCAGAAGGGGCAACUGGAAUUCUCGGUGUAGCGGUGAAAUGCGUAGACAUCGGGAGGAACACCGGUGGCGAAGGCGGCCUUCUGGACGGAUACUGACGCUGAGACGCGAAAGCGUGGGGAGCAAACAGG